UAAAAUUUGUGAAACUCAUUCAUUAACCUAAAACAUUUCUGCUUCAUCCUGUUCUCUCUUCAGCCGCAGCUUCCUCGCCGGUGGUGGUUGCAGUCGCGGCGGUUUACCUCCUGUCACAUGGGUUGUGGCUUCACUACCGCGAUUUUCUUCCACCACCGUGUUCCAGCUUCUGGGCCUCCUCAACCGAAGUAUCUCCUCGGCCUCAAACGAAUCAUCUGCUGCAAGGCCCCCUCCCCCGCCGCCGCAAGCAUUGUUUAUUCCGACCAGAAGCACUUCAAAUCCAAGUGCUCCUCUUUUUAUUCCGCUACAUUGCACCUAUCACAAAUUUUUCCUUCUUUUAGAUAAAAGACAAAGCAUAUUGCUUUAUGAUGUGUUUGUUUAGAUUUACAAUGUUUCUAAUUUUUUUUAGACAUUGUUUCUUCUAGAGUUUAUGGUGAGGAAGAACACGCAGGCCUUGUGAAUGAUAAAAGUUCACUUAUUUCACUUAUUGUUUCUGACCCAGAAAAUUCUCUAGAGAAUUGGAAAUCCAAGGGUGUUCAUGUUUGUGAUUGGUCUGGUAUCAAAUGCAACAAUGCCAGUGACAGGAUCAUAGAGAUUGAUCUCAGUGGAAGGUCACUAGGAGGCACCAUUUCCCCUGCUCUUGCUAACCUCUCUUCCUUGCAAAUUCUUGAUCUUUCUGGGAUUUUUUUGGUGGGUCACAUUCCAAAAGAGCUAGGAAAUUUAGUUCACCUUGAACAACUCAGUUUAUCAGGGAAUUUUCUUGAAGGAAGCAUUCCCUCUGAGUUUGGUUCACUUCACAACUUGUACUACCUUGACAUGGGAAGCAACCAUCUUGAGGGAGAGAUUCCCCCAUCACUUUUCCACAAUGUGACUUCAUUGAGUUACAUAGACCUUUCUAAUAACUCUUUUCCAUAUAUUUUUAAUUUAACUUCUUUUGCUGCCUCUUAAGGUUCCAAAGUAUUGUUAUUUUAGGUUCCAAAGUAAUUUCUUUUGCGGUGUGAUUUUGUCUGCAAGUGGUGAUAAUUAAUUAUUUUCUGCUGAUUGCUUGUGUUUGAUCUGAGAUAGUUUUUGAACUCCUCUACACAGCUUUCUCUAGAUCCUACUUGAAUUGCACAACUAUCAUGGUUUUGUUAGUUACCUUGGAGAAGCUGCCUUCCAGAAGGGGUGAAUGUUGUUUGUGCUUUUUGCAGGUCUGCUGAGGAAACAACUGAACACUUAUUAUUCGUGUGCCCUCAACUGUUAAUGCAAUUGUCCUUUCUGAACUCACAGUGUCAGUAUGAUCACCAUAUCUGAUACGGUUGGGGAUGGGAUCAACACAAAAGCAUUUCCGAAUGUCAUCUUCUACCUCAACUCAUGCAAAAUAUAUUCACUUUUACGAGUCAUACAAUGCCAUCAGAUUAAAGAGACUUCUCCUGGAAGGGGUGGUUAUGUUAUAAACAUCUUUAUUGAAGUUUUCCAUCUUGAUUGAAGUUUCAAGAUCGAAAGUGCAAAGCUAAUGCGUGAAAAUUAUUAUGUAGAAUAGGAAAGUUUCUAUUGAAUAUGAAUUAUGUACUCUUAUUGAAUACACACUAUUGAACUUCAGUAGUUACACAAUGAUGUAGCAAAAGUUUUGAUUGCAAUAAAAUGAGGCCUGAAAUCUAA